UACGAAGGGGGCUAGCGUUGCUCGGAAUGACUGGGCGUAAAGGGCGCGUAGGCGGUUUGUACAGUCAGGUGUGAAAUUCCCGGGCUCAACCUGGGGGCUGCACUUGAUACGUAUGGACUGGAGUGGGGAAGAGGGUCGUGGAAUUCCCAGUGUAGAGGUGAAAUUCGUAGAUAUUGGGAAGAACACCGGUGGCGAAGGCGGCGACCUGGUCCUUGACUGACGCUGAGGCGCGAAGCGUGGGGAGCAAACAGG
rnacentral:rRNA from 1 species